GCCGAGUAUUAUAAGACCAAGCGUAUUCUUAGGGAUAUGUGGAUGCAUGCUCAACCCACAUUGUUUAAAGGAAAUUAAGUAUAUUGUUCAAGGCUUGAAAUCCUCUUCAAUAAAUGUUCUAUGGACUGGAUGUUAUUGAAUUUGGAAUUUUUACAAAGUGUAACAAGUAAAACCAAAAAUGAGAUUAUGCAAUUAGAGGCUGAAUUGGAAAAGAACUUCCAAG